rnacentral:lncRNA from 1 species
GUGGGUGUGACAAAGUAUAACCAAACUGCGUAUGUGCAUUUCUCAGACUUCAGAAGAGGAAACAUCAGAGUAGAGUCCGACAAAAACUGAUACAUCUGAGUAUUUUGAAACCCAGAACACCAACCACGGUAAGACCUUUCUGUUUCUGGUUCAACCCUAGAAAUCUAUCUUAGAUAAGUUAGUGUAAUAUUUGGCUGUAAGUCAAAGUUAAAAAACAAAAUACGGUUUCUUUAACACUGUUAAAUCUUCACUAAAGAGCUUAAGUUAAGUUCAGCAAAAUGUCUUAAGUCAAAAAUACAAUGAAAAAAAACAUAAUUAAAAGAGUCCUAAUUAUAAAAUGGUUGAUAAUUAAUGUAAGAAAAAUGUUUUAAAAGGCCAAAAUAAAAGGUAGUAAGUCACAGUUGUAAGGUGGUAAGUUAAGAUUAAGAGUCAUAAUUAUAAAAUGACUUCAAAGUUAUAAGAAAAAUGAGAAAUAUAUAUCACAAUCUUAAGACAAAUAUAACUAUAUGAUAGAAAGUCAUAAUAUCAAGACAGUGAGUUAUGACUGGGAAAUUUUUCAGAAUUAUCACAAAAAAAUAAAGCUAUAACAUAGUCAUAAAAUUGUAAGUUACAAUUAUGAAAGUAUGUCAUGAUUAUAACAGAGUCAGAGUUAUAAGAGAGAACAUUGUGAUUAUAAGAAAAGUUUAAAUUAUGAAACAUUUUGAUGAGCCUGUCAUCAAAUCAAAUAUACAGACUGUUCAUGAAAACAAAGACUGCCUGAAUGAAAGGGUAUGUUUGAUUAUCAAAUUAAUGAAGAUGUCUCAGAGCUGAAACUUUUAGAGAGGACUUCAGCAGUUUACACAGAGAUGUCCUGAACUGAUUUUUAUAUGAUUUGGCAUGAACAAUAAGAUGCCACAUUUUGCUGUUUCUAUCCUAGAAAGUCUGUGUAGAUGAGACCUGAGAUUUUCAACAGCAUUUACAGAGGCUGGUAGCUUAUUUACACUCUACUGACCUGAAGAGCUGCUUUACUUUUACUUUCAUUCUGACUCAAGAGCUUGUUAUCUUGACGACCAUUCCCCAGUGUGUCUUUAAAUGGUCACGUGAAAUUAAGAGUGAUUACACAGUGCCAAUAUAAACAGAGUUUUCUCAACUUUUUUUCCCUCUGCAGCCAUGGGAGGUGAGGAGUCAAAGCCUGUCCCAGAGCCAAGUAAUAUUAUUUUUGAAUAUUAAAUAAAUCUUUUAUCAAAAUACAAUUUCAGGGAAAAAUUCUGACAAAACCUAAAUUUGUUUUUCUUUCAGUGUUCAGUGAGCCAUGGCGGCAACUCAACUGGAUGUAAGUACUCUCUAAUGUCUAAUGUGCUAUUUUCCUAAAUCACUGGGUGUGUGAUUUACAAAGUGCCAGUGGAUAUACAAAACCAAAUCCUGACAGCAAAGGGUUAACUUUUUGGGGUUUAUUCAGAGUAACGUUUUCUUUUUUUAAACUCUUUGGUUUAUUCCUCUGCUUUGUUUUUAUGUAUGUCUGUGUUUACCUGGGUAAGCACUUAGUAAACCUUUUUGAAAGGUGCAGUAUAAAUACAUUAAUUAUUGGUGUUAUUAUUAUUAUUACAAUUAUAAUUACUAUAUCUGUUAUUAUUAUCUCUGUAAUUACUCAGCUACCAACUAAAUAAACAAAUAAGUUAGCUCCAAGAAUUGAUUAAAAGAUGAUUUUGUUGGUUUAAAAAUGAUUCACUUAUAUUCCUUCAGUUUUAAUGUUUGGUGCUAGUUCAUGCUCACUGCACACCUCUCUUUUGUCAAACUUGUGUCUCUGAUUUUCUGACCUCUGCAAACACACACCUGGCUCCUCCUCCUGCUGUCCUCUCCCCACACAUGGCUGCAUGACAGUUUGAACUGCUGCUGCACAAAGAGCUACAGAUACAUCAGUCUAUGUCCACCUUUUACAACAUCAGCAAAUUACAUGUGCACACAGCUGUGCUGCAAAUUUAUCUGCUCAAAUAAAAAGUGAAGAUUUUUAAAAAGAAUUUAAAAAAGGAUAGGUCUGAGUUAAAGAAUUUCACUCUUGCAAAAAGGAGCAGUCACAAACAGAAAGUCUGUAAGCAAGUGCUCAGAGGACUGUACUCUGACUUUGUUUUAGACACAGGGCGUUAUCAGUUUACAUCAGUCAUAUCGAAACAUAAUCAUCCAUAACAAGCUGUUCACAACUUUCUUUGUUUUGCAGACUGGGUUCAGCUUUUGUUUCCCAGCCUUGACUCAGGGUCAGAACAGAGAUAGACAGUAACAGUGUGUUGCUCAGCAUAUUUCUAUAAAAGCUGUCCUUAAAUUACCUUUGAUGACAUGAGUACAUGUACAAGGACUGGAUAAGAAGAUAUUUGUCCAGAAUCACUACUCAGUGUUCCAACAAAGUAAAUGUUCAGCUUCACAAUGCAAAGAAACUCUUUGCAGCCUGUUCAGCACAAUCGAAUGAGAGUAACCAAGCCCCCAUAUAUCCUGACGUCCAACUGUGUGCACUACCAACAUAAAACACAUAAGAACUAAUGUGGGACUUUUAUGAGAUAGUCACAUGACAGUAUGUGUGUGCACUGACACCUCUCCUGAGCCAUCCUUUCUCUCCCUUCAUAGUUUCACAUCCUGCACUGAAUGUGCACCACGUCAUUAUGCAAAACUAAAAAAAGUUGUGGUUGUUAUCAUUUUAUGUCACACAUCUUUCCUCCUCUGAACAGGGACAGACAAGGCAUUCUGGACUAUGUGAAGAACUACAACCCAAGGACCCCAGGGCAGCAGAUCAGAAUUCUUCUUCAUGGGCCAAAUGCAAGUGGAAAGUCCAGUUUCAUCAACUCUGUUAACAGUCUCUUACGUGCAAGACCGUACAUCAACGCUUUAGCAGACAACACCCACGGCGAAAGUUUUACCAAAGUGGUAUGAUGACUUUUUUGUUGUAACAUAAAGGAAAUGUCUCAAAUUUGUAAUGAUAAUGAAAAAUCUACUAACUCCCAGUGCAUGCCUUGUGUCAUAAUAAUCUUUACUUUUAUUACUUAAAGGGAUGGUUUAGUGGUUUCCAAGUGUGGUCAUUUCAGGUGCUCGUCAAUGUUAAGUGUAUUUGCCAAAGGGAUCCCAGUGACUUGGGCCCCCUUUGCUGAGAAACCACAUAGAGGACUACUACAGGUGGGCUCAGCUCCACCAAGUGAUUUCAAUCAUUUUAAAUCCCAACCAAGGGUUGAGGGUGCUGUUCUUGCAGUGGCUUUACCCAGUGAGGAGGCAGACAACAUCCAUUCUAUAUACAGUCUAUGGGCACAACCAAGAAAUUGAGGCUACAAGAUCCUUAAAGGUUAGCUGGUCAUCAAUCAUGACACUACAGUUUCCAGACAUACUUUGCGUGCAUCAGUUUCUCUGAUCCAAACUGGGUAUCAGUCUGAGUCAAAUGUGGUGUUUCUUCAUCCAUUCAGUCAUAUCACAAAAGCAUAAUGAGAUUUUAGUUGAAAGAGUUGUGUGAGUGUGACAGAAAGAGACGGGUAUUGUCUGCAUAGUAAUUGUUGUUGGCCUGAAAGAAAAAAAAUUCACUUGGACAGUUUUAAGGGACUUACAGUAUCUCACAAAAGUGAGUACACCCCUCACUUUUCUGAAAAUAAUUAUAUCUUUUCAUGGAAUAACACUAAAGAAAUAACACUUUGACACAAAGUACAGUAGUCAGUGUACAGCUUGUGAAAUAGUAUAAAUUUAUUUUUCCCUCAAAAUAACUCAACACACAGCCAUUAAUGUGUACACCCCUGGCAAAAAAAGUGAGUACACCACUAAGUGAAAAUGUCCAAAUCGGGCCCAAAGUGUGAAUAUUUUGUGUGGCCGCCAUCAUUUACCAGCACUUACUUAACCCUCUUGGGCAUGAAGUUCACCAGAGCUUCACAGGUUGCCACUGAAGUCCUUUCACCUUCCCUUUAGGAUGCCCCACAGAUUCUUAAUAUGGUUUAUAACAGUCUUAGCCAACAUAGCACCAGCUAACUUACUGGCUUCUGUCAAUGAGCAUAAGUUCAGACUUUGAGUUUGAAAUCUAACAUGUAGGGGUAUCUAAUGUGGAGGAUUGAAUUCAUUCUGCUCUCAAUCUGUUCAUCUGCCACCUAUUUAGAUUUAAAGCUGCUUUUGGUCGUGAAUAGCAAAAUGUUAGAUUGUUGUGGGAUGCUGAGCUGCUCAGUGAAUACAUUGUUUAGAAGUCUUUAUUACUACUGAGAUGAAGUUAGUAUUAUUACUUUAUGUAAGAUCACGUAAAAGCUGAACAAGCCAAUAGUUAGUAUUUUUUGUAAUAAGAACAGUUUUUUUGUGUGAAGAGGGGUUGGAUUACUGGAUAAAAGAUGAUGGAGGUAAAUAUGUUUACUUUGUUUAAUGGAUGGGGACGAAAAUAUUUAAAAGAAAUCCUGUAUGGGGAAAAAGAUGCAUUGAUAAUCAUGAUAAUCGUUAAAAUCACAAUAAUCAUUGCAUUUGUUUGAUAAUCAAAUUUUAGCACCCUGAACUGGGAUCGCAUUAAAACGUUAGGUGCCCAAGAUGGCCCAACCCAACUAACUACACUCUCCUCCAUCUGUCUUUAAAAGUACAAAACCUACAAGAUCGACAAAGGGACCCCAGGGGCAUAUUACCCUUUUGUGUUCAAUGACAUCAUGGGCCUGCAAAACAGUAGAGGGGUCCUUCCAGAUGAUGUCAAACUGGCUCUGAAAGGACAUGUCAUGGAAAAUUACGAGGUACAUUUACUGCAAACUUUGCACAUUUUUCUUCCAAAAAGAUUUUAACGCAUCAUGUAUUAAAUCAGAAUUCUGUCUUUGUUAACAUGUGUUUCACUGUAAUGUUCUUCAAAUGAAUUUAAAACUGUUUUCCAGUUCAAUCCUGAAUCCAUGUUGACUGAGGAGAAUCAGUUCUAUAAACAAUAUCCGUCUGAGGAUGACAAAGUGACGGUUCUGGUUUGUGUUGUUAAUGCCCACAACAUGUCCAUAAUAAAAGAUGAAACUCUGAGAAUGUUAUGUGACAUCAGGAAGGAAGCCAGUCGCCUGGGUAAGACCAGAAAAACUUUUCCAAUAUUUUUCUCAAGAGUUAGAUAAAACUUUGAAAAAAAAAACACAGUUUAAUUCUUGACAGAUCUUCAAACAGUUCCUCUAGCUGAUUUUGAUAUAUGUAUCUGAAGGAGAACAGUGGCUUUUGAAAUGUUUUUUUCUUUCAUGGGACUCAAAGUUUUGUGUUUGACAGGAAUCCCUCAAGUGGCCAUCCUCACCCACAUUGAUGAGGUCUGUCCUGAAGUCAAGAAAGAUUUAAAAGAUGUCUACAAGUCCAUCUUACUGAAGAAGAAGGUAUGCUUACUUGUUGAUUUCAUGAUUUUGUAAAGAAGGAAUCACACUUUAAAAAGUAGUCUACAAAUGACACACCACUGGGCUCUGUUGCUCAGCACUGUUUUUUCUGCCACAAUGCUGCAGUUAGAUCAGGUGAUGAAAAAAUGAAGAACAUCAAAAAUUCUAAUUUAUACAAAUAAAUCAAGAAUUAAAUCCAAACCAGAUCUGAAUCUUUGUCCUGUAGUCAGGAUGACAGGAACAGCUCAGUAUCAUCUACAUAGCAGUGAUAUGAGAAUCCACAAGUAUGUAUUAGUGCACUUAGUGGGUUGGACUUCUCCUCUCCGUGAUAACCAAAAAGAUUCCCCUUUGAGUCAGGACACAGACCUAGAGGCCCCACCUAAAGCCAGACUGUAGUCUCCUUCCAAAGUCCUGAACUCCUCGUUUUAGUCCUUCUAAAGUCCCCAUGCUCUAAUAGAGGUCACUCAGAGUCCUUUUCUCCUCAGAGAGGUCAUUUGAAAACCCUGAUAUCCUCAUGGAGGUUAUUCCAAAGUCACUACAUUUCACCCAAACACUCUGAUUGGCAGUGACUGUCCUGAUCAGACCAACCAGGAAACCAGAGACAUGUAGUCCAGAUCCAGUCUUUAUUUGAGACCAGUGUUUUUCUGUCAAAACAUGUAGAGACACCAGGCUAGUAUCAUCGACUCUGAGUUUAAUUGAAUAGAUAAAUGAAACAGCCAUUCUAAAUCAGGCCUCAUUACCUCUUGUUCUGAAGAUCAGCUGCUCAUAAUUCAAAUUUGUUUCACUAGAUGGAGGAGUUCAGUGCAAAGGUGGGGAUCCCGAUGAACUGCAUCUUCCCUGUGAAGAACUACCAUGACGAGAUUGACACCAACAAUGACCUUGAUGUUCUGCUCCUGAGUGCUCUGAAAAACAUCAUCAUCUUUGGAGAAGACUACCUUAACCCCUAACUGCAGUAUUCAGCUGUGUGAUCCAUGCUGCUGAAACCCACAGAGCUAAAUAUUAAAUGUAAUGACCAUUUAAGGUAAUAUUGAAUCAUUGCUUUCUGAAGUGUCUCUUUACUAUGUGCCAAAGUUGAGCUUUAUGUGAUCAGCUUAGCAAACUUUUUUCUGCUUUCAGUGAGUUUAUAGUUCUCUCUUGCUUCUGUGAUUUUUACUCUAUGAAGUUUUAAAAAAAUGCAAAAUUUGAUUUCAAAUGUAUUCAAGACUUUACAUUCACAAUAAGAAACAGACCUUCUUGGUCUAAACUCCUGUCUUA